AGAGUUUGAUCAUGGCUCAGGAUGAACGCUAGCUACAGGCUUAACACAUGCAAGUCGAGGGGCAGCAUGGUCUUAGCUUGCUAAGACUGAUGGCGACCGGCGCACGGGUGAGUAACACGUAUCCAACCUGCCUUAUACUCCCGGACAGCCUUCUGAAAGGAAGAUUAAUACGGGAUGGUAUCACGAGCCAGCAUUUUCUCGUGAUUAAAGAACUUCGGUAUAAGAUGGGGAUGCGUUCCAUUAGAUAGUAGGCGGGGUAACGGCCCACCUAGUCUACGAUGGAUAGGGGUUCUGAGAGGAAGGUCCCCCACAUUGGAACUGAGACACGGUCCAAACUCCUACGGGAGGCAGCAGUGAGGAAUAUUGGUCAAUGGGCGCGAGCCUGAACCAGCCAAGUAGCGUGAAGGAUGACUGCCCUACGGGUUGUAAACUUCUUUUAUAAAGGAAUAAAGUGAGGCACGUGUGUCUUUUUGUAUGUACUUUAUGAAUAAGGAUCGGCUAACUCCGUGCCAGCAGCCGCGGUAAUACGGAGGAUCCGAGCGUUAUCCGGAUUUAUUGGGUUUAAAGGGAGCGUAGAUGGGUUGUUAAGUCAGUUGUGAAAGUUUGCGGCUCAACCGUAAAAUUGCAAUUGAUACUGGCAGCCUUGAGUACAGUUGAGGUAGGCGGAAUUCGUGGUGUAGCGGUGAAAUGCUUAGAUAUCACGAAGAACUCCGAUUGCGAAGGCAGCCUACUAAACUGCCACUGACAUUGAUGCUCGAAAGUGUGGGUAUCAAACAGGAUUAGAUACCCUGGUAGUCCACACGGUAAACGAUGAAUACUCGCUGUUUGCGAUAUACUGCAAGCGGCCAAGCGAAAGCGUUAAGUAUUCCACCUGGGGAGUACGCCGGCAACGGUGAAACUCAAAGGAAUUGACGGGGGCCCGCACAAGCGGAGGAACAUGUGGUUUAAUUCGAUGAUACGCGAGGAACCUUACCCGGGCUUGAAUUGCACUCGGAUAUAGCGGAAACGUUAUAGCUAGCAAUAGCGAGUGUGAAGGUGCUGCAUGGUUGUCGUCAGCUCGUGCCGUGAGGUGUCGGCUUAAGUGCCAUAACGAGCGCAACCCUUGUCUAUAGUUACUAACAGGUCAUGCUGAGGACUCUAUGGAGACUGCCAUCGUAAGAUGUGAGGAAGGUGGGGAUGACGUCAAAUCAGCACGGCCCUUACGUCCGGGGCCGCACACGUGUUACAAUGGGGGGUACAGAGGGCCGCUACCACGCAAGUGGAUGCCAAUCCCGAAAGCCUCUCUCAGUUCGGACUGGAGUCUGCAACCCGACUCCACGAAGCUGGAUUCGCUAGUAAUCGCGCAUCAGCCAUGGCGCGGUGAAUACGUUCCCGGGCCUUGUACACACCGCCCGUC
rnacentral:rRNA from 1 species